GCUGCAUGUACCCCAGGACUCAGCCAGUUUCCUACAGGAGCAUAGAAGAAAGUACCACUAAAGGAGAGCAAGGAGAAGGAAGAGGAAGAGGGCGGCGAUUGGCAAGGCUUGAGGCAUGAAGAAAGUGCACUUUCACUGUUGCAGUAGUCUUAGAAAACAAAUAUUUCUGCAUGGUGACAACGGUUCUUACUGGAACCCCAGAACAUCUCCAUGGUAUGACCUACCACAUUUCCUUCCCACCAAAAUAAUAAUAAUAAUAAUAAUAAGGCUACCAAGUAUCUGGAAUUUCUUGCUCAUUAAAAUCUGAUUACUACCACA